rnacentral:rRNA from 1 species
CUUGGUCAUUUAGAGGAAGUAAAAGUCGUAACAAGGUUUCCGUAGGUGAACCUGCGGAAGGAUCAUUAUCGAAAUUAUUGGUGAGGGUUGUAGCUGGCCUUUCGAGGCAUGUGCACGCUCGAGCCCUUAAUCCACUUUACACCUGUGCACUUAAUGUAGGUCGCCCUUAAAAAAGGUGACCUAUGUCUUAUCAUCAACCCAUCGUAUGUCUCAUAGAAUGUAAUCGAUAUCCUCGCCCUGAAAAAGCGUUGAUAAACUUAUACAACUUUCAACAACGGAUCUCUUGGCUCUCGCAUCGAUGAAGAACGCAGCGAAAUGCGAUAAGUAAUGUGAAUUGCAGAUUUUCAGUGAAUCAUCGAAUCUUUGAACGCACCUUGCGCUCCUUGGUAUUCCGAGGAGCAUGCCUGUUUGAGUGUCAUUAAAUUCUCAACUCCAAGGGUUUCACGACCUUUCGGAGAUUGGACUUGGAGGUGCUGGCCGCAUAUUGGUCGGCUCCUCUCAAAUGCAUCAGCGGAAUUCAACCUUUGGCUUCCGGAUGUCAGUGUGAUAAUCAUGUUGCGCUGUCGUUUGAUCCCUCAGAGUCCGCUUAUAAUGGUCUUCGGACAAAAUCAUCAUCAAAUUUGACCUCAAAUCAGGUAGGACUACCCGCUGAACUUAAGCAUAUCAAUAAGCGGAGA